rnacentral:tRNA from 1 species
UGGCUCAGUCGGUAGAGCACGUUGUUUGCAAUACCAGGAUUGUGGGUUCGAUUCCCAC